UUGGAGGAAGCUUCGGCACAAUUAGAGGAACAUGAUACUGGACGUGACCUCUGGUUGCGAUGGUGUAAAGUCCAACUGCUUUUUGAAUGGAGCUCAGGAAGGGCUUACUUAUCUGAUACCAAGAGACGCUGCUCGAUCUGAAAAGGAGGAGGCAGCCCAGAGUGAAGUGCUUAAACCUUGAAUAUGGACAAGAUUUAAGGCAGACCUGACUUCAGCUUUUACCAGUUAUCAGCAUAAACCUUCUGUCACAGGGCUGCUGGCCCAGACUUGGGAGUACAAGCCCGUGAGGGGACUGGACACCCAUAUUGUGUGAACAAUGCUGCUUAAACCUAGCGUGUCUAUUUAAAUAAAAUCUUUUGCAUACACCA